UUUUUUAAAUCUUUUUUUAAUUUUCCGUGUGAGAUUUUAGCGUUUAAUUGCGUUAUAUUUUUAUCUGGAAUAAAUUCUCGGAAAAAACAUAAGUUGACUUUUCAAAUACAAUAUCGUCAGGACAUGCUAUAUGCUGUUACUUGAAGUAUCGUCGAUAUCCAGUACAUAAGUACAACAGGCUCGGGCAAGUCUUCACGUGUGUAUUUAUAAUUUGAUCAUAUUGUAAACAGUAAACAAAAUUGUAAACAAACUAACAAAAAAUAUGUCAGGGACAAAAUUUUUAGGUAAUAUUAUCAGGUCAACGUCACGUAUCGCCAGUCAGGUUAGUUAGACAUUUUUUUAAAAUAAAUUAUAGACAUAACACAUGUAUUAAAAAAUAAUAAAAUGAUUUUAUAAAAAAUUAUUUUUAAUCACUUUAUAUUAAUAAUACAGUCACUUAUGUUUGUCCCACUAGUCCCAUCAAAAUGCCAAGGCACUUCGUUUCCUUUUGAAGACGCCAGUUUUUUAAGGUCCAUUCUUGACUGUACUAUGGGCCUAUUGGGGUGUCAUUCAGUGUCAUUUUCUUGACUGACCUUUAAGAGGGCAAUAUUGCAUAUUUGAUAUUUCUUCAUAUUUUUCAGAUGCAUCCUGGAAUUUGUAGAGGUAUUGGAAAAG